CGAAACCCUAGCUGCUUUCGUUCCCCACUCACGCCGCCGACCCAGAGAGGCGACCUGACCCUUCCCUCCCAUGGCGCCACUGCCCCCACCCAUAGCCGGCUCCCUCUCCCCUCCCUCCCUCUCCACUCCGUUCCAUGGUACCAGAUCUUAAGGGGACAUGGUCUCUUCGCUCCCGGUGGUCCAGGGCGAGGUAGGCGGCCUCCGCUCCCUCCACUUCCGGCGACAGGUGCCUAUAUCUCUGCCAACCAACAUUCGGUGACCAGGAGGUAGCCAUCUAUGGCGGCAACAAAAUCAUCUCCCUCUCGUGUGGUCUCUCCCUCCACUCCCCCUCCAGGCUGCAGAUUUGAAACUAGAGCGUGCAGAUUUAUAGUUUUCUAAAAAGUAUUUUCAUGAAUUGGUUAUAUUCGUUCAGUUGUUCGUCCCACCCCUCUGCAUAUCCGACCCAUUCUUAUGUAGUUUAUUAUUAUAUGAGAGGAAGGGGUAAGGGACUGUUAGUUAAGAACAGUUGCAUCUGUGUGUUCUCGGCAAGAAAGAGAAUGACACAGUUAAACAUUCAGAUUUAAGCAAUAGAUGGAUGGAACUUUUGUUCUGCAGUCUAAUAACGAGAUACAAUAAAAGUUCUUUUAUUUUACUGAAAUUAACUUUUACUUGAGUGAGGUGCUAAGGUCAACCUCUAUACAUGCACAUCCCUGAACUGAAAAUACACCCAGGCACCAAUUUCGGACAGUACAAAAUUGAUAUGAUGCUUACUUUGUGAGUGAGUAUCUUAUUGCACAAUAUCUCUGAAUAAAAGGCAUGGUUAGAAAUAAACUGAACCAAACUAUAUCGACAUCAGAGAGCCCUUGAUAUUUGGUUCAGAGCCCUUGAUCAUUACAGCUAGAAAUUACAGCUAGAAAUUACAAUUAUGAGUUUAAUUUCUCAAUUACAGCAAUAAUUGUACUGUAUUUGUAACGAUACAUUCUUACCCUGCCAAUAAAUAUUUGGUUCAGAGCCCUUGAUCAUUACAGCUAGAAAUUAGCAAACACAUUACAUAUGUUCAGUAAAGCCUUUCAAUAUUUUUCCCGUCGAUGUCACAAAAUAAACACCCCAAUUAGUAUGUUUGAGCUUGGUGGUACGUGCCCCCAUCUCUCCCCACUUCAGGAGAAUAGGAGCCAAUCAUCCAUGGCAGAAACAACAUCGUAAGUUCUGUGUUUGUGUGUGCGUGUUCAGAUUCCAACUCCCACGGUGGACCAGAAUUUUUUUAUUUGGUUGUAAGUAUAACCUCUUUCAAAAAGAAAUCGUGCAGCUUCAGUUCAUGGAAGCAGAAGUCCUUGAAGUAGUAAAUUAUUUUUUUGCAGGGGAAAUGAAUCUUUAGUAAGUUUGGGAAAAAAGGCCACUGGAAGAUGUCCAUAGUCAUAUGCAUGCAUCCCAUCGACUUGAUGCUACUACAAUUUACUCUUUGAAGAACCUCCGUAAGUAGUGGAGCAAGAUUUCUUAUAUAUGGGUGAGGGCGUCAAUCAAUGUUGGGAGUUGGGACAAGGAAUCUCAUGACUGCAAUAUAUAGCUACCACGUUGGACCAGGCGCGAUUAUCUUGAGUAUAGCUAGACGGAAAAACAUCUUUCGAAGGAAGCAAACAAAAGGACUACACCCACACAGAACCAUGAAGCCAAUGAUCCACGUCAACUAGAUGUUUUAGAUUUCAUUUUGUACAACUGAUGUAUCAUACUUGCAUCUUUUACAUGUCCUUUUGUGAACCUGAUGUAUGGUGUCUCCGUAGUUAUGUUUAGAACAGAUUGAAGGCAGACUGAAGUGUAUGUAUGUAACACCUAGUUAAUGGAAUAAAAAAAAGUUUGGUGCACCUGA